CAUUCCCGCGGCGAGCAGAGUAAUGUAAAGACGUGCCACUCGCAACUAAAUUUCACAAGUGUAGGAAAAUGGCUCCUGCAAAGAUGUUCGCUUUUAUUGUUAUUACGUGUUCACUUGUAGAUGUCACUUACACUGUGUCAACAACAGCUAUGGUAACACCAUCUGCAACACCUACUUAUUAUGAUUGGUGUUCGUCUAAUCCCUGUCGUAAUGGAUUUUCAUGUUAUAAUAAUCGUUGUUAUUGUUAUGCUGGAUAUACGGGAC